GGAAGUGCAAGGCCAAGAUGAGGACAAAGAAUGAGAGGGAAGGAGGUUGAUUCUGGAUAGAGUUAUGAGAAGGAUGGAGAGGAGGAGACCCUGGCGCAGACCCCCACCUGGCCCCACCUCCUGCGAGGGUACCACUGUCGCCUUGCUCUGACUCUGCUUUUACCUGACGUACUGAGAAGCCUGGAUCACACCCGCUAUGCUGGGCUGGCCCUUGCACCAGUGAGGAGGCCCAGGGUGCUCCAGUGCUUCUGCUCCUUCCUCUGCAUGCUCCCCCUCUGCAUGCUCCCCCUCUUCCUGCCUUGAGACUUAAUAUAGAGUCCACCACCUGCCAGCUGGGAACCUGAUCAGUGACCCAACAUCAGUGACCCAACAUCCGUGACCUGGGGAGGGCACACAAGUCCAGUGCUCUGUGAGUGUUCUUCUGGAACAUUGUGGGAUGGUGAGAAGCCCCCAAAGGACUUCAGGGGACUCUGAAGUAUUGGGAAUAAGGGGAGCCCUUCAAGGCAGGAUACAGAGACCUGCAGGGACAUGGAGCAGACUGAGGCAAUGCUCAGGCCCUGCCAUCGUGACUCGGGUUCUUGGCUGAGAUUCCACCUCCCAACGUCUCCUGCCAACAGUCGGGUCACCAGCUGCCCCUCUCUUGUCCUGAGUCUCCUGCUCACUGUGACCUUGAGGGCUCAUGGGCUCU
rnacentral:lncRNA from 1 species